AACUCUUAGCGGUGGAUCACUCAACUCGUGCUUGAUGAACACAGCUAGCUGUGAGAACUAAUGUGAAUUGCAGGACACAUUGAUUAUCGACACUUCAAAUGCAGUUUGUGGCCCUGGGCUACUCCUGGGGCUAUGCCUGUCUGAGGGUCA